UUAUUUGUUAAGCAUCCUUUGUGUACAAACAUAUACCAGAAGAUAAAGAGGAGGUAAACAGAUUUGUAAAUAUACAUCCUUUUUUUUUUUUUUUUUUGGUUAUAGGAGAAAUUAAUUAAUCACCUUGGAUCAUCUUCUUUGAGAAUGAAUAUAAGAUUAGAUUAUAUCCCAAGACAUCCUAACUCUAUAAAUCUAUGUUUUGUCCAUCAAUAACUACACUGUGAAUUGAUGAUUCUUUCCCACUGCAGCAUCUUACUUUUAUUUCCUAUGGAUGGCUU
rnacentral:lncRNA from 1 species